GAAAUGCGAUAAGUAAUGUGAAUUGCAGAAUUCCGUGAAUCAUCGAAUCUUUGAACGCACAUUGCGCCCCCUGGCAUUCCGGGGGGCAUGCCUGUCCGAGCGUCAUUGCUAACCCUCCAGCCCGGCUGGUGUGUUGGGCCGCCGUCCCCUCCGGGGGACGGGCCCGAAAGGCAGCGGCGGCGCCGCGUCCGGUCCUCGAGCGUAUGGGGCUUUGUCACACGCUCUGGUAGGCCCGGCCGGCUUGCUGGCCAACGACCUCACGGUCACCUAACUUCUCUCUUAGGUUGACCUCGGAUCAGGUAGGGAUACCCGCUGAACUUAA
rnacentral:misc_RNA from 1 species